GCGAAGACGAAGACAAAGACAAAGUGCGAACUUAACGUCUCAAGUCUCAACGACGCAUCUGUUUGUCUUUCCCACGCCGUCCAGCCUGAGCCACAGGCCCAUAGCGAAGGUUUGGAUUCUCAAGAGUAGCCGUUCGCGCAGCACAUCAGUCCUCAAAGGGUGUAUUGUCGAAUUUUUGGCGAAUUUUUUCGCGGCCGGGCAACGGACCGUCGGCAGAAAAAAUUGGAAUCUGAGAAUCUGGGAGACUAGGAUUCAGCCUUCAAGACAAGAAGAUGUUGGGUUCCUUGCCCAUAUUGCCGCUCCCUGCCCCACCAGAGGAUGGGAAUCUUGGUCCAUUGCCUCCUGCUCAGUUGACAGAAAAAGAUAUCGAUGAGCUUAAGUUGGUGAAUGAGGAGGACAAGAGCAAAAGUAAUUCAGCUCCAACUUCAGUUGCAACCCAUACAAGAACAAUUGGGAUUAUUUAUCCACCUCCUGAUAUCAGAAGCAUUGUUGACAAGACAGCUCAAUUUGUGGUGAAGAAUGGUCCAGAAUUUGAGAAAAGGAUUAUUCAGAGCAAUGCAGGCAAUGCAAAGUUCAAUUUUUUAAGUGCCUCAGAUCCUUAUCAUGCAUAUUAUCAGCAUCGUUUGUCUGAAGGUCGUGCACAGAAUCAGGAUUCUGCUCAACAGCAGCCUUCACAGCCACCAGAUUCAGAUGUUCCAGAAUCAACCCCUGCUGCACCUGCUGCUGAUGCUGUUGAUACAACAGCGAAGUCUGAUCCUUCUGCACAGUUUAGGACUGUACGCAAGGUUCUUGAGCCACCAGAAGCAGAGCAGUAUACUGUUCGGCUUCCUGAAGGGAUCACAGGGGAGGAAUUGGAUAUCAUUAAGCUUACUGCUCAGUUUGUGGCAAGGAAUGGGAAGACUUUUUUGACAGGGUUGACCAGUAGGGAGAUCAAUAAUCCUCAAUUUCAUUUUUUGAAGCCUACUCAUAGCAUGUUUAUGUUUUUCACUUCACUAGCAGAUGCCUAUUCAAAAGUCCUAAUGCCUCCUAAAGGCUUGACUGAUAAACUGAGGAAGAGUGCUACUGACAUGACUACUGUUCUAGAGCGGUGCCUGAAUCGGUUGGAGUGGGAAAGGUCACAGGAACAGGCUAGGCAGAAAGCUGAGGAUGAAAUAGAACAAGAGAGACUGCAGAUGGCUAUGAUUGAUUGGCAUGAUUUUGUUGUGGUUGAGACGAUAGACUUUGCUGAUGAUGAGGAUCAUGAUUUACCUCCUCCUAUGACCCUUGAGGAGGUUAUUAGGAGGAGCAAGAUGUCUGGUGUGGAGGAAGAAGAGUUUGUUGAGCCAGGGAAGGAGGUAGAAAUGGAGAUGGAUGAAGAAGAGGUGCAGCUUGUUGAAGAAGGAAUGAGAGCUGCUACCCUUGAGGAGAACGCUGUUCAGAAUUCUGAAGUUAUGGCAAUUACAGAGGACCAAGAGCCACCAAUGAGAAUUGUUAAGAAUUGGAAAAGGCCUGAAGAGAGGAUCCCUGCAGAAAGAGACCCAACAAAGUAUGUUGUCUCUCCUAUAACUGGUGAGCUGAUUCUGAUUAGUGAGAUGUCCGAACAUAUGAGGAUCUCUCUUAUUGAUCCCAAGUACAAGGAGCAGAAAGAGAGAAUGUUUGCAAAGAUUAGGGAGACAACCCUUGCUCAGGAUGAUGAAAUUUCUAGAAACAUUGUUGGGCUUGCUAGGACACGUCCUGAUAUUUUUGGUACCACAGAAGAAGAAGUUUCAAAUGCAGUCAAGGCUGAGAUUGAGAAGAAAAAGGAAGAGCCCAAACAAGUCAUAUGGGAUGGCCACACAGGUAGCAUUGGUCGCACUGCUAGCCAGGCAAUGUCCCAAAACAAUGCAGAAGAUCAGUAUGAUUUUGCAAAUGAUGCAAGGAAUCUUCCUGGCCCUCAAGCUCCACCCCCUCCCAGGCCUGGUGUGCCAUCAGUUCGACCACUUCCUCCACCACCUGGGUUGGCACUAAAUAUUCUUCGUCCUCCUAAUAGUUUCCCUUAUCCAACCCCUGGUAAUCCUGGCGUUAUGCCACCACCUCUUCCCAGGCCUCCUGUGGUUAACACAGUGCCUCAGGUGCAACCUCCACCUCCUAACAUCCCACCUAUGCCUGGGCAACAUCUUAUGGUAAAUCGUCCUCCAAUGCACCCGUCAAUGUCCAUGAAUGCUCCUAACAUUUCUUUACCACCACCACCUGGGUCUCAGUUUACACCUCUGGGUGUUCCUCGAGCCUUUGUUCCCCAUCCCAUGUCCCAGCCUGGGAUGAAUAUUGUCCCACCACCUCCAAUGCCCCAUGGAAUGCCUCCACCACCUCCACCUGAGGAAGCUCCACCACUUCCAGAGGAACCAGAGCCUAAAAGGCAAAAGCUUGACGAGUCUGUUCUCAUUCCUGAAGACCAGUUCCUCGCUAAGCAUUCAGGACUUGCCUGUAUCAGCAUUGCUGUGCCAAAUGUUGAUGAAGGAAAUCUCAAAGGGCAAGUAUUGGAGAUCACAGUGCAAUCCUUGUCUGAAACUGUUGGCAGUUUGAAAGAGAAGAUUUCUGGUGAGAUCCAGCUGCCUGCUAACAAACAGAAGCUGAGUGGAAAGGCUGGGUUUCUCAAGGACAAUUUAUCACUUGCAUAUUACAAUGUUGCACCUGGAGAAACACUCAAUCUUUCACUUAGAGAACGUGGUGGCAGAAAGAGAUGAAGAUUGUUAGUUGGCCAGGCCUUGGAAAGCUUUGUUUAACCCUUUUAAGUUGAUGGUAUGGUAAUCCAAUACAGAAUUGGCAUCUUGUUGCUCCUUUCCCAACUGAGGUGACAACUGAGCUUCACCUGCUCUGUAUUGGAGGGAAUUGUUCUUUCUCAAAUUUCAUGUUAUUGAUGUUUUCCUUUAUUAUACAUUUUUUUUUGUUUUUUGAAUUUCUUCUUAGCAUGUGGUAUUGUUGUGAUGUCUAGUAUAGAUUAUAGAAUGUGGGUUUCUUUUUGUAGGAGAUGGGGUUGUGGUAAGAGUACUGCCUUUGCUGACUGCUGAGAGCAUGCAUUUAUAUCCGGUGCAUUCUGUGUAUGUUUGUUCUUUAAAAACCUAUGCUAUGAAUUUAGUGUGAGCUAAGUGGAAUCUGAUGCUUUUAUGUCAGUUCACAAAAAUCUCACAUUUCAAUAGAUCUGGGGCCAGGAGACAAAGUGAUGACCAAUAGAGAAACUAAGGACAAUAACUAUUAAAUCAAGUUUAGUUCAGGGAAUAAGCUUAUAAUAGAAUAGUAUUUUCAUCAAAGUGUUUGCUCUAAAAUAUAGUCGAACUUCAAUUUCGUUUUUUUUCCAAUUAUAAAUCUCUUGUGUGUUAUUGGAAAGCUGCUUGUAUUUGAAAAGGUAGAAGUUUAUUUCUCAAUCCACACAAAUUUAGUGUUAGAUGUGAAAACUAUAUAUAUAGUUGUUACAUAUGAUACCCAACUGCUUGAAACUAGUAUAGUAUAUGCAAUACUGAAGUUGUGUAAUGUAGUAUAGAUGAGGUACUUUCAAGACUUUGUUAGGAAGAGACAUGACCUUAUGUACAAGAUUAUUUGCUUGCCUCUGUUUUUAUAUGGUUCAUUUCCCAUUCUCUCAUAUGUCCUUUACUAGCUUGCAUUUGGUGUGAGUUGGAUUAGUAUUCUGUUGAAACGCAUCAUAAGUCAUAACCUCCCAAAAUCGAACUAAGAGUACAUGUGUUCCUUGUUUCACUCAAUGAAGCGGACUGUUCCUUGCACCAUACAUCCUACACAGGACUAACUGAGUCUUUUCGUGCAUACCAUAUACUCUGUCUGAAAUUUUGAAAUCAUGAUGAUUUAUUUUUGUUCAACUCUCUCGUCUGCUUUGCUUGAUCAUUCAGAUCCUUACAUAUUAGCUUAUAUAUCUUGCUUGUGAUAGAUCAUGUAUGUGUGUGUGUGUGUGUUUGUGUAAAGUGAAAAUUUGAAAGCUGCUGGCGAGUUCUCAGAGAAGAAAGAUCAAUGGCUGUGGGGGCAACCUCAACCAAGAUGGCUAAGGAUACAAACUUGUAGCCUUUGGUCACGAGUUUGAAUCCAGCCCUUUUGGUUUGAGCCGGUCAGUUAUGGGCAACUUAGGCUGGUUUACCUCCUUGUGGUCCUUUGCCAGCUGGGUCACAAGGCCCAUUACUCGGUACACACCCUCGGGUAAUGGCUGCGGGUUUUCCUCGUCACCCCAAAAAAGAUCAAUGGCUUUAUGCAUUUCUGAGUGACUAGUGGGAAGUUAGUUAUUUUCAUUCAGAGCCAACAGGAGGUAUUAACUUAGCCAGAGAUUGAGGGAAGAAAAGAAGUGGCCUUAGUGGUGCAUGGCUCCUUUCACUUGCCUUCAGAGGCAGAUUUGGUUUUGAUCAAGCUGGCAGGAGGGGUCAAGAGACCCCGGGUGGUUAAGAAAUCCUUCUAGUGGCGAUAUUGUUGGUAUCACGCUCAAGAAGGUUCUUCAUCUCGUCUGGAGGGAGACCAAAAUUGUUGUGCCCCAUGAGGUGUUCUGGCCCAUGUUUGCAAGGUAGUCUGCACAUUGGUUGUCCUCACAAAACACAUGCAUGAUCUCACAGUCUUGAAAUUGAUUCAUGAUGGUUUUGCAAUCGUCAAUCAACGUGUGAGCUUCAGGCCUGGACUCCAUAUCUUUAUUCAAAGCUUGAACCAUUGCAUAUGAGUCGAUUUCGGCGAUGAUCUUUCUGAAGCCCCGAUUCUUUGUAAUGAGCAGGCUUUCCCAGAGACUCCACAAUUCCGCAAUGAAACUGUUGGUUAGACCAGUUCUUGAAGUAAACCCCACAAUCCAUAGGCCAUUGUGAUCGCGAAGGACUCCUCCCGUGAGUUGGAUUUUCUGGCGCCAUCUGAAUUGAGCUUAAUGGUCCCGUGAGGAGGAGGCCGCCAACUAACCCAGAUUUGCUUUCCCAUAACAGGCCCACGGCGUUUCCGGAGUACCUGAUCAUGAGUUUCCAUGGCGUCUCGGUUCGCAUAGUCGAUGAUGUUUCUCCCUACUGGGCGGACGUUGUUGAAGACCAAAUUAUUUUGAGCUUUCCACAAGUUCCAAAGAGUGUGCGUGAAACGGAGAUUCCAGAUGCUGUCGACAGAAUUCUGGAUGUCCCCUUUGUUGUUACGUUCAAUCCACUCCAGCAGAGGUGUGUAGGAUGCCGCAUUGAAUCCAAGCCGCCACAGAGCAGCGCCUGAAGAGGUGAUCAAGCUUUUCUUCACCAUCUCCACACGUCGAUGUCUUUCCGGGUUGACCAGCAGACUGUUUUUUGACACCUUCUAGAUGAAUAAUUUAAUUCUAUCAAUUUCCCACAUCCAGCCUUGAGCAGCUGACCUGCAAUAAGAGAAUAAGCAGAUUUAACAGAGAAGGAUCCCGUACCUGAGUGAGGCCACGACUAAGAGUCUUCUCGGCUUAGAUUAAUGGGAAUUGGAGUCGCCCGAAUCAAGUUGAGGACGUCAUUCGGCAGAAAGGGCUCCAAAGUAGAAAUAUUCCAAGUUCCAUCGUCGCGAAUAGCUUGGUUCACGCUCAUGUUUUCCAUGUCAUUUGGCACCACUACAUUCGGGGUAUCCACAAGGGCUUUAUCGCCCAUCCACCAAUCGCGCCAAAACUUAAUCGUGGUGCCCGUCCCUAUUCUCCAUUUCACGCCUUUAUCAAGGAUAGUCUUACCUAUUCUCCAUUACGGGGAUUAGCAUUAAGAAAAUCCGCACCUUUAAUGUAUUUGUCUUUAAGUACUUUGACCCACAACUUGUCCGUAUUGGUAAGCAUUUGCCAUGCUAGCUUUGUGAGAAAAGCCAAAUUAAAAUUCCUAGCUUUUCGAAUGGAUUUGCAAAUUCUUGACCAACUUACCGAAUGGAUUUUACGA